UACGGAGGGAGCUAGCGUUGUUCGGAAUUACUGGGCGUAAAGCGCACGUAGGCGGUUAUUCAAGUCAGAGGUGAAAGCCCGGGGCUCAACCCCGGAACGGCCUUUGAAACUAGAUAGCUAAAAUCUUGGAGAGGUCAGUGGAAUUCCGAGUGUAGAGGUGAAAUUCGUAGAUAUUCGGAAGAACACCAGUAGCGAAGGCGACUGACUGGACAAGUAUUGACGCUGAGGUGCGAAAGCGUGGGGAGCAAACAGG
rnacentral:rRNA from 1 species